CGCGAACGCUGGCGGCAGGCCUAACACAUGCAAGUCGAACGAACUCUUCGGAGUUAGUGGCGGACGGGUGAGUAACACGUGGGAACGUGCCUUUAGGUUCGGAAUAACUCAGGGAAACUUGUGCUAAUACCGAAUGUGCCCUUCGGGGGAAAGAUUUAUCGCCUUUAGAGCGGCCCGCGUCUGAUUAGCUAGUUGGUGAGGUAAAGGCUCACCAAGGCGACGAUCAGUAGCUGGUCUGAGAGGAUGAUCAGCCACAUUGGGACUGAGACACGGCCCAAACUCCUACGGGAGGCAGCAGUGGGGAAUCUUGCGCAAUGGGCGAAAGCCUGACGCAGCCAUGCCGCGUGAAUGAUGAAGGUCUUAGGAUUGUAAAAUUCUUUCACCGGGGACGAUAAUGACGGUACCCGGAGAAGAAGCCCCGGCUAACUUCGUG
rnacentral:rRNA from 1 species